rnacentral:rRNA from 1 species
CGGCAAAAGCUCAAAUUUGAAAUCUGGCGUCUUUGGCGUCCGAGUUGUAAUUUGAAGAAGGUAUCUUUGGGCCCGGCUCUUGUCUAUGUUCCUUGGAACAGGACGUCACAGAGGGUGAGAAUCCCGUGCGAUGAGAUGACCCGGGUCUGUGUAAAGUUCCUUCGACGAGUCGAGUUGUUUGGGAAUGCAGCUCUAAGUGGGUGGUAAAUUCCAUCUAAAGCUAAAUAUUGGCGAGAGACCGAUAGCGAACAAGUACAGUGAUGGAAAGAUGAAAAGAACUUUGAAAAGAGAGUGAAAAAGUACGUGAAAUUGUUGAAAGGGAAGGGCUUGAGAUCAGACUUGGUAUUUUGCAUGCUGCUCUCUCGGGGGCGGCCGCUGCGGUUUACCGGGCCAGCAUCGGUUUGGAGCGGCAGGAUAAUGGCGGAGGAAUGUGGCACGGCUUCUGCUGUGUGUUAUAGCCUCUGACGAUACUGCCAGCCUAGACCGAGGACUGCGGUUUUUACCUAGGAUGUUGGCAUAAUGAUCUUAAGUCGCCCGUCUUGAA